AGGAGUUCGAGACCAGCCUGGCCAACAUGGUGAAACCCCGUCUCUACUAAAAAUACAAAAAUUGGCCGGGCAUGGUGGCAGGUGCCUGUAAUCCCAGCUAAUCGGGAGGCUGAGGCAGGAGAAUUGCUUGAACCCAGGAGACGGAGGUUGCAGUGAGCCGAGAUCACGCCUCUGCACUCCAGCCUGGGCAACAAGAGUGAGACUCCGUCUCCAAAAAAAGAAAAGGAAUCCAGUGAAAAUGGCUGCAAUUACAACAAGAAGUGAAGGAAGAAGACUGGUGACAUCUCUGAAGGAUGCAGUUGAGGUUGAUCCAGGUUUAUCCGAAUAUGCUACCUUUCUGAGCCUUAAACCUUCAUCUCUCAGGUGUUGAUUUGCUUCUGAUAGCUUCAUCAUUUCUCCCUGAAGUCUUUUACACUCUUCUGUUAGUUUCCUUGUUUCAGUAUCAUGAAGUGAAGCACUGUGUGGUUGUGGCGUGGGCCCGUCUUGCUUAGAUGCAUUCAGUGGGACAGCUUUGCUGGGUUCCAUGUCAUUCAAUUUAUCAUUUUCAUUGGGGAUCUCCAUUUGGAAUCCAUUAAUUCAUGAGGUUUUGCCUCAUUCCACACAGCUUCCAUAUCUGAAGUGUUUAGUGGAGCAAAAAUUGUACCAUAAACUUGUGUUUACUCUUUUCAUUCGGAUCAUAGUCAAAGGGCUGUAGCAUUACUGAAACAGUCACAGUUGACCCUGGGUCAAUAAUUCCACUGUUGGGCCUCACACAGUACCGGUGAGGCACGGUAGUCUUCACUUUGAAACACACUUUUCUAUCCGAUGGAUUUCGCAAUUUAAGAUUUGUAGUGACUACAUCUGUGAAGGGGCCUUUGAAUUUGAGGUCUAUGGGCGGGUCGAGGACCAGGAUCUGCUCGUGCUUCGCCGUGGCCCCGGAGGCAGACGCCAUUGGAGAGACAGCGCAGAGCAGGGGGCGGCUUGCUCGCUGGGGGCGGGGGACGAUGGCGAGAGGGGAGGGGGAGCGAGUUCGCAUCUCUCCUUUUCCUGGUUAGACUCUGUUCAACCACAUUCUUAUGUUGGCAGAUCUGCUUCCAGAUUGAUUUUUAGAGCACCAUCACUUUCACAUUCCUGAUUCUGAUUUUGUUUUGUUUUGUUUGGGUUUUCUGAAACUUAAAAUGCUGCCCCGAAAAUACUAUAUUUUUGAGUUUGUGUUCUGAAAGCCUCCGUGCUGCUGGAUCUUUGGGGGGAAAUACAGGAUCCUUCAGCACUGAGGUGUUUAAGAUUUGCAACUAGCAAUGCAAUUUUUUCUAAAUAUGGGGAUAUUUACCUUUAUUAAGAAAUUAUACUAAACAUUGAUGUCCUUGAUCAUUUUAUGUUCUCAUAUUACUUUUGAUUCUACUAUGAUUGUGUGGUGGUGAACAAAGAUCAUUACAAACAAAAACUGUAAUUUUGUUAUAUUUGAUUCAAUGGAAUUUACCUAAAAAAUAAAGACUAAAAAUGUGGUGUGGCUAUGUGUCCUUUG
rnacentral:lncRNA from 1 species